ensembl:lncRNA
UUUUUGUAUCUUCUUUGUUGUUUUAGACCCGCUGUGUGGCUCCAUCCCUCGUUUGAAGGUGGGUUUCUCUGUACUGUGUGAUUCUGCAGUUCUGUACCAGUGUCCCUCUGGCUAUGUGCUACAUGGGGCUACACACAUCACCUGUGACCCCAACACACACUUAUGGACUCCACAACCACCCACCUGUCAAGAUAUAGAUGAAUGUUUCACACAGCCUUCUGUCUGCCCUCCAAACCUGCAGUGUAUCAACACACCAGGCUCCUUCAUCUGCUCAGACUUGGCAUCUGCUCCUCUUUCUGCCUCCUCUGUUGUUGCGGCAGUUAUGGCAGUGCUGGCAGGAGUGGCCAUUAUGACCCUAAUCAUGAUCUGCUACAGAAGGCGGGUGUUUUCUUUUUUAAUUUCACUUUUGUUUAAACACUGACUCACUGACUGAUGUUUGAUUAUAGUAAGCAGAUUUUUUUUAUUAUUAUUAUUUCUUUGCUUUUUUUGUAGGUUUUUUCUCAGAGAGGCAGAGCCAGUUACCAGAGCAUG